GGGUAGUCCACGCCGUAAACGUUGGGUACUAGAUGUCGGGGGUAUCGACCCCUCCGGUGUCGCAGCUAACGCAUUAAGUACCCUGCCUGGGGAGUACGGCCGCAAGGCUAAAACCCAAAGGAAUUGACGGGGGGCCCGCACAAGCAGCGGAGCGUGUGGUUUAAUUCGAUGCAACGCGAAGAACCUCACCUAGGCUUGACAUGGCUGAAGUAGAACCCCGAAAGGGGACCACCCGUAAAGUCGGGAGCAGUCACAGGUGCUGCAUGGCUGUCGUCAGCUCGUGCCGUGAGGUGUUGGGUUAAG
rnacentral:rRNA from 1 species